GUAGAACGCUGAAGAGAGGAGCUUGCUCUUCUUGGAUGAGUUGCGAACGGGUGAGUAACGCGUAGGUAACCUGCCUUGUAGCGGGGGAUAACUAUUGGAAACGAUAGCUAAUACCGCAUAACAAUGAAUGACUCAUGUCAUUUAUUUGAAAGGGGCAAUUGCUCCACUACAAGAUGGACCUGCGUUGUAUUAGCUAGUAGGUGAGGUAACGGCUCACCUAGGCGACGAUACAUAGCCGACCUGAGAGGGUGAUCGGCCACACUGGGACUGAGACACGGCCCAGACUCCUACGUGAGGCAGCAGUAGGGAAUCUUCGGCAAUGGGGGCAACCCUGACCGAGCAACGCCGCGUGAGUGAAGAAGGUUUUCGGAUCGUAAAGCUCUGUUGUAAGUCAAGAACGAGUGUGAGAGUGGAAAGUUCACACUGUGACGGUAGCUUACCAGAAAGGGACGGCUAACUACGUGCCAGCAGCCGCGGUAAUACGUAGGUCCCGAGCGUUGUCCGGAUUUAUUGGGCGUAAAGCGAGCGCAGGCGGUUUGAUAAGUCUGAAGUUAAAGGCUGUGGCUCAACCAUAGUUCGCUUUGGAAACUGUCAAACUUGAGUGCAGAAGGGGAGAGUGGAAUUCCAUGUGUAGCGGUGAAAUGCGUAGAUAUAUGGAGGAACACCGGUGGCGAAAGCG
rnacentral:rRNA from 1 species